GGGAGGGGCUAAUAAUCGGCUCAGUCAUUUUUAAUGAUCGUUGAAAGCCCAGAUCGUAAUCGUGAUUAAAAUUCGAUUAAUUGAGCAGCCCUAGUAUAGUAUGAAUGUGUGUGAGAUUUGGUGAAUGAGGCUUGUAGCAGAAAGCUCUUUGAGUGCCCAAAUUGAGUAGAACCGUGCUAUAUAUGUACCAGUCCACAUCUCAUGGUUUUUUUUUCCCCUUUUCUUUUGUUAUCUACACAAACAGAUCAUGGUGUCAUAAAUAAAGCAUUAUGGCUCUUCUUGUAUGUAGUAUACAGCUUGUUGAGCGGCACUCAUGUGACCAAGUGGAAUAAUAAAUAAAUCAAGUUGACAGCAAUAAGUUAUGUUACUGUAAGUGUGGAUUGUUUCAUUGUCACUGAUAUCUGAUCUAGUUUCGUGAGUCUGAUAUUGGAUUCAAAUAUUGAAUCAGUGCAGUCCAAGUCUGUAUAAGCAGCUUAUGACCCAAAAUCUAUAAGUCAAGUGUGUCACAUUCAAAAUACCUGCAGUACUACAGUCGUCCAGACUGUAAUACAAACACUUCGGUUUGUCAGGCGCAGGCAAUGCUUAUGACUGUUAUUAGUGAAGCCGUUUGUCAUUCUGUCUUUUUCACAAAGCAAUAUUACAGCAAUAAGAGCUACUGAAGAAAGAGACACAAGAGACGCUGGACUUUCUUAUUACAUAACACAGAUAAUGACAAACUUUAACUCCAAGGACAUAAAUUGAAGUUGAUAAAAGGUGAUAACUUGCAAUACAUGAAAAUAUUAUUCCAAUGCUAAUAUCAAAAUUCAGUCUAAAAUUCAUAUUCUGCUGUGUGUUAAAUGUGAUAAUAUUGUAUCAUUGGGUCUCUGGUGAGGUUGAUAUGUGUCCUGUUGUUUUCACUUUAUCUGAGUUUAAGAGCUACUUUUGGAAUAAAAAUAUUAUAUCAUAUGGAAAACAUUUAAUAUCAGUUAAUAUGUACAUUAGAUUAGAGCUUGUCCACAUGUCUGUAAAACCAGUGGUGACAUUUUGAUUGGAUUCGAGGGGAUGAAGCGUUCCACUGGUGUGACCUUACCGCUGAAUAGAUCAAGGUGAUUUUUCGGGUCAGCACAUGGUAUUAAAUGAAUGGAAUCAUCAUCAGCGACAUGUUGACUGUUAGAUGCUUUUUUUUAAGCUGAUGGACUUGUUUACCUUUGGAAGUGGAAGAAACACUUUGUAAUGAUGGUACUGGAAAUGGUUGGAAAAGGAUGUUUGUUUGGGCGAGGGCCAGGGGUUCUGUUUAUAACUUAUCAAUAGUUCAAAAAUGACCAAAAGUAUUUAUGAAAUUGAGGCUUGAUGUGCCAGCAUGCACUCACAGGGCAACAGCGUAAAAUGUUCCAUUGCAGUUUGGCUGUGCACCUAAUUGUCUCUUUGCAAAAUUACAGGCAAGAGAAACCUGGAUUUAUUUCCUUUAUUGCAGCUCAGCAGCCAACAUGUUAUUGCUCUGGUCUCAAGAGCUUUACGUGUUAAAACCAUUACCGCGGUAACGCCAAGUGACACUUUUUACUGCUAUUUCCCCUUCUUCAUUUUGACACACAAAUUAUAGUGUGGCUCCAAAUGAAAGGCAACUAUGUGGCCUUACACUGACCUGCAUCUUCAUUUGAAAACCAUGGGAUUAAAUCAUCUCACGAUGGUAGUCAUAACACUGCAUGAGCUGAUGCGAACUUGGCGAUUUCCUUUAAGAGUUGACUGAAGACUGAAAGCAUUUAUUCUAUCUCAAUAGGAUUUUUACCCUGAGGUUGUCUCAAGAACUGGGACACCAUCCCAGUGUGUAAGCCUCGCUUGCAUGUGAUUGCCCCUGAGCCACAAAACCUGAAUACAUGCAUGUGCGUGUGCUCGCACAAUCGUGCAUACUGACCUAAGUCACAUGGAAAGUCCCGCUCAGGCUUGGCACAUAGAAGAGGAAGGAUUUUCCAGUUUAAUUAUGCCUGAGGGUGUAAUUUCACGUUGACUUGUGGUUUGCUUGAAAUUGCUCUUCUGUCUUGGUAAAAAUUUCCUCUUGCUCCAUGUCUUGGUUACUUCGCCUGGUGUGUCAUUACAUUGUGUUAUAAUGUAGGACUGCAGGAUUCAGGCAUCACCUACACUUGUGCUUCCCAUGUUGCGGUUCGCCUGCUGUAUGAUAACUUGCCUUCAGGGUCCCUAGUCUAAUAGGGCUUUGGAGUUGACGUCACGCCGCAAUGCAUUGUGGGAGCGCAGCGCCAUUUUCGGGGUCUACGAAUCAAAAAAACACACUGUGUUGGAACGACGACUACAAGAAAGAUGCUUAAAAGCAGCUCAAAAGAGAGUGAACUGUAUAGAGACCGAUUGCGUCCAGAGGCGAAGCAGCGGUACUUGCAGAAAAUAGCGUGCAUUGGAAAUGUGGACCCGUAUGAAAUAUGGCCGUGGAGUAGAAACCCCGAACACCUAGCGCUACUGACGUAGCCUGACAUAUUUUCGUACCUUGUCUGUGGAGUCAGCGCGUACAAGUCGUCAUUCAAACAAAGGUGCUGCUCUCUCAAAGACUGAAUGAACCAGCAUUGCAGCCAUGGGUCACUGUGAGCAUCACAGGGAAGGUUGAAGUCGCCCACUGCAGCUGUAUGGCCGGAGUCGCAGAGAACUGCAGCCAUGUCGCUGCUCUUCUGUUUAAAGUAGAAGCAACAGUCUUGAUCGUGGCACAAGGACUGUUACAGAUGAACCUGCUUACUGGGUUUUGCUGGGUAAUGUGACCAAGAUACAGCCAGAGGUUGGCCAUAAGAUAGACUUCUCCUCUUCAGCUGCCCAAAAAAAGGCUCUUGAUCAAAACAUAAACAGACCAUCCGUAGUGACAAGUAAAAGAAGCCGUCCUCAAAAAAGUAAAAUCCCACCUGCUACUGUGGAGGAGUCUAGAUGUAUGCCUGUAGUGCACUGCCGUGUAAAUAAUUUGCAUUUACUGAAUAUGUACUGACUGAGUCCCACUGUUCAAAAGUUGAAUAAAGAAACAAACUAAUUUUUGCCUCUUUUUAUUUUAUUUUAUUAAAACCACCUUAUAGAGCAUCACAUCAGUAACAGUGUAGAAUCCAUGUCAUUUAUAGUUUACAAAUGACAAAAUGUUUACACCAAAUCAUGAGUGUUUACAUGAUAUCACCCACUACUAACAUUACUUUAUUUACUGUAUCUUUUGAAAAAAAUAACAGCACAAGACUUAAGAACAUUUAACAGGAGCAGGUUUCAUUCUUCCCUGGUUUUAUUAUCACACUGUUCACCAAACGCAGCAAACCUUCACCAUCUUAUCCAGGAGGGUCACCUCUUCACCCUCACAUGGAAGAAGUAAUCUGAUUGGCAUGGUGGUUUGUUUGAAGCAGGUCCCUCGUGUAGCGCUGGGACCCAGUCACGAUGUUUCAUCCAUUUCAUAGGCUGGUUUGCUGCAAUAAUGCCAAAUAAUUAGCAACUCUAUAAAUAGACGGUAGUUCUGCAAAAUCACUCAGUAGGAUGUUUGUUCUAAUUUGCUAUGAGCUCAGAGUGCAUUG
ensembl:lncRNA